CCUGCCCCUAGAAGCAUUGCAGGUGUGGCUGCUGUGUCACAUGUGUGUCAGUAGGUGGCAGAGGAGAGGCCAUGUCUAUGCUCAGUGUUCUGGUCUGUGAACAUCUGAAUGAUUUGUAGCCUACAUU
ensembl:snoRNA LOC120101281 small nucleolar RNA SNORA17